AGGGUGUAAACGCUGCGGACUUGGUGUUGGGGGCCCUUUGGGGGCAUUCAGUGCCGGAGAGAAGUUGUUAAGUCUGCUACUUGGGGAGUACGUCCGCAAGGAUGAAACUUAAAGGAAUUGGCGGGGGAGCACCGCAACGGGAGGAGCGUGCGGUUUAAUUGGAUUCAACGCCGAAAAACUCACCAGCAGCGACUGUUACAUGAAAGUCAGGUUGAUGACCUUACUAGAUUUUCAGAGAGGUGGUGCAUGGCGUCAGUGACU
rnacentral:rRNA from 1 species